rnacentral:rRNA from 1 species
GUGGCAGACGGGUGAGUAAUGCGUAGGAAUCUACCUAGUAGUAUGGAAUAGCCAUUAGAAAUGAUGGGUAAUACUGUAUAAUCCCUGCGGGGGAAAGAUUUAUCGCUAUUAGAUGAGCCUACGUUAGAUUAGCUAGUUGGUAAGGUAAUGGCUUACCAAGGCUAUGAUCUAUAGCUGGUCUGAGAGGACGAUCAGCCACACUGGAACUGAGAUACGGUCCAGACUCCUACGGGAGGCAGCAGUGGGGAAUAUUGGACAAUGGGCGAAAGCCUGAUCCAGCUAUGCCGCGUGAGUGAAGAAGGCCUUCGGGUUGUAAAGCUCUUUCAAUAGGGAAGAUAAUGACGGUACCU